rnacentral:lncRNA from 1 species
CAGGCCCCUGACUUUCAGUGACUAAACAAGUAACAUAUUUUUCCUCACACAGUAAAUACGGUGGUAAGCAUUUGCGGGAGUUGUGUCAGCUGCUCCAUGAUGUCUGCAAAGAUCUAGGCUUUUUUCUUUAUUUCUAUCUUUUAUGUCUUCAGGCUUGUUUUGUCAAACAGCUUCAGGCAUCCCAUUCACACUAAAUGCAAGGAGAUGGAUGGUGGAGUGGGGAUGAGGCUUCUCCGCUCUUGGCUAUCCCUUUGAUCAGGAAAGCAGAAACUUUCUCAGAAGCCCCAGCAAAUAUUCUCUUCCAUCCCUUUGGCCACAACCGGUCACAUGGCCACCCCUAGCUGCAAGGGAGGCUGACAGGGUCCUUGGCAUUCCACAUUCAAUAGAGGAGGCUGCAGGGGAGAAGGAGGCCAGUAACUGCUGUCAUUCAUGCUGUUGGCCACAACAUACCCCUUGCUUGGAAAAUUGUAUAACAGUUUAAUUGUGUAAUUUCUACUCAGUGGCUCUUCACAUCCUCAGUGUUAAAGUCGUUGUUGAGUUGAAAAAUGAUACUUGCUUCAUAGGAAUUUUGUGCCUUCACAUUGACUUUCAAACUCCUGUGCAAGAAAUCUUAGUUUCUUAGCUGGUAACAGCUAUAAAAGAGUAAUAUAUAUAUACAUACACACACACACACACACAUAUGCAUACCAUUUGAGGGUCAGUUACAACAUGGUCUCUGGCCCCUAAAUACUCAGCGUUUGUUUCCUAAGAAGAGGGACAUUUUCAUAUCCAGUGUAGUUAAGUAUAGUUAUUGACAAUAAUAUGUUUAACAUUGUUAGAAUAUUUUAAUUUAUUAUUCCUACCCCAAUUUUGUCAGUUGAUCCAAUACAUUUCUUUUUGGUGUUUUCCGUAUGGAAUACAGUCUAGAGUUUGGUAUUGCAUUUUGUUAUCAUGUCUCGUUAGCCCCUUUAAUCUGGAACAUUCCCUGUGGUACUGCUUCUUCUGGAGCCUCUUUCUCCUGCUGCCUCAUGCUAACAUUUUUUUUAAACAUUUUGGUCUCAGGGCCCCUUUACACUCUUAAAAAUUACUGAGGACCCCAAAGAAACUUUAGUUUCAUGGGUGCUAUUUAUCAAUAUUUACAUUAGAAAUUAAAACUGAGAAAUUUAAAAAGUAUUUUAAUUCACUUAAAAUACCAAUAGUAAACCCUUUACAUGUUAACAUAAAUAACAUACUUUUAUGAAAAAAUAACUAUUUUCCAGAACAACAAAAAAAUGUUUAAUGAAAAAAGCAGCAUCGUGUUAUAUUUUUGCAACUGAUUUUCAUGUCUGGCCUAAUAGAAAACAGCUGGAUUCUGAUUUCUGUGUGUUUUCUAUCUGUUGCAGUAAGUUGUUUUGGCUGAAAUAUGUGGAGAAAAUCCAGCCAAAUCCAGAUAUGUAGUUGGAAAGGGGAGGCAUAUUUUAAUAUCAUUUUCAGAAAAUUGUGGCUAGUCUUUGGUACCACACCACAAUUUGAUAUAUGAAAGUUUCUGAAAAGCUAGUUGCAAUGUGAAAUCUGAAAUCAUAUUAAUGAAUAUUUCAUAUUGUCUUACAUUAAAAUCAUUUGGUCUAUCUUGCAUUUUGAAUUGAUGUUUAACCCACACAUGAUAUUAUUGGUCAUUUGGAAACUACUAGUUCAUUGAAUUAUGCAGAUCUUUCAAGUAUUGACACAUUUCAUUAUACAACAUCCCCAAAUCACUUUUGUAAACAUCACCACUAAUUUGAGAAAAAUCUCUUUAAGUACUGGGAAGCUCUCAAGUUCACAGCGACCGAUAACAAGUUUUCCAAAAUUCCGAUUUAUCUUGAAAGCUUGAAUUUAUCAUUUGAUCACUUAAUUUCCCUCAAAGUGAUAGAUAGGCUUACUUUCUUCAUUUUCAAGAAAAUGUCUAUCAUGUCCCCGAAUCUGAGUAUCCACAGUCACUCUUUCUUUGAAGCAAAAAUGGCAUCCCACUCGGGAGGCUGAGGCAGGAGAAUGGCGGGAACCCGGGAGGCGGAGCUUGCAGUGAGCCGAGAUCACACCACUGCACUCCAGCCUGGGCCACAGAGCGAGACUCCGUCUCAAAAAAAAAAAAAAAAAAAA